rnacentral:rRNA from 1 species
GAUGAACGCUGGCGGCGUGCCUAAUACAUGCAAGUCGAGCGAACAGAUAAGGAGCUUGCUCCUUUGACGUUAGCGGCGGACGGGUGAGUAACACGUGGGUAACCUACCUAUAAGACUGGAAUAACUUCGGGAAACCGAAGCUAAUGCCGGAUAGUAUGUAGAACCGCAUGGUUCUACAGUGAAAGAUGGCCUUGCUAUCACUGAUAGAUGGACCCGCGCCGUAUUAGCUAGUUGGUAAGGUAACGGCUUACCAAGGCAACGAUACGUAGCCGACCUGAGAGGGUGAUCGGCCACACUGGAACUGAGACACGGUCCAGACUCCUACGGGAGGCAGCAGUAGGGAAUCUUCCGCAAUGGGCGAAAGCCUGACGGAGCAACGCCGCGUGAGUGAUGAAGGUCUUCGGAUCGUAAAGCUCUGUUAUUAGGGAAGAACAAGUGCGUAAGUAACUGUGCGCACCUUGACGGUACCUAAUCAGAAAGCCACGGCUAACUACGUGCCAGCCGCCGCCGUAA